rnacentral:rRNA from 1 species
UACGGAGGGUGCAAGCGUUAUCCGGAUUCACUGGGUUUAAAGGGUGCGUAGGCGGCUGGUCAAGCGUGGUGUGAAAUCUCCGGGCUCAACCCGGAAACUGCAUUGCGAACUGACCUGGCUGGAGUGCAGGAGAGGGCAGCGGAAUUCCUGGUGUAGCGGUGAAAUGCGCAGAUAGUCAGGAGGAACACCGGUGGCGAAGGCGGGUCUCUGGGCAGUAACUGACGCUGAGGAGCGAAAGCGUGGGGAGCAAACAGG